GAUGAACGCUGGCGGCGUGCUUAACACAUGCAAGUCGAACGAAGCACCUCUCCCGAAGAUUGACACAGCUUGCUGUAGAUUGAUUCAUUUGAGGUGACUGAGUGGCGGACGGGCGAGUAACGCGUGGGUAACCUGCCUCAUAGAGGGGGACAACAGUUGGAAACGACUGCUAAUACCGCAUAGUAAGAAGAAUUCGCAUGUUUUCUUCUUGAAAGAUUUAUCGCUAUGAGAUGGACCCGCGUCUGAUUAGCUAGUUGGUAAGGUAACGGCUUACCAAGGCGACGAUCAGUAGCCGGCUUGAGAGAGUGAACGGCCACAUUGGGACUGAGACACGGCCCAAACUCCUACGGGAGGCAGCAGUGGGGAAUAUUGCACAAUGGGGGAAACCCUGAUGCAGCGACGCCGCGUGAGUGAAGAAGUAUUUCGGUAUGUAAAGCUCUAUCAGCAGGGAAGAUAAUGACGGUACCUGACUAAGAAGCCCCGGCUAACUACGUG
rnacentral:rRNA from 1 species